UUGACUCUGUGGGAAGGGCAAAAUUUCCAUCAUCAUUAUCAGUUUUCACGUAUCUGAUCGCAGUAAGUCAAUGACCUUUUCAGGUGUUAAAAUGGGACAUUAGUAAAAGUAGGAAGAGUACAGGAGAGAAAAGGUCAGCUGAAACCAACAACAUUUUACUUAUGAGUUCCCUGGGCCUGAAACAGAUGUUUAUAAUACACAUAUUUGACAAGAAUUCGCAUCCAGAGUUUAUAAAGAACAAAUCAGUCUGCUGUGCCUCUAUUAUUGGCAGGAUAGCCAAGGGAGGCAGUCAGAACCUUUGAUGCCCAGCAAGCUGUACCACUAGGAGAAAAGCAAGGCAAAACUUUGCUGCAAACCUUAAGAAGAAAGAGAUGCAUGCUUGCACAGGGUAAGUUCCUCCUACUGCUGAUUUCCCAUCUGCAAAGGUGGAAGUUGGGUGGAGCCCAAUGAUCCUUUCGAGCUUUAGAGCUUGCAACAUCUUUGGCAUAAGGUAUGAAUUGAUUUUAUUUUGCUUUAUUCUUUAUUAUUUUGAAGAUCUUAUAUUCUUGUUGCUUUUCAGAAAGCACAAAAAUACAGAUUCAGUCUAGAAGGGCUUUAUUAGCCAUGAAACUUAUGACAGACCUUAACUACAACCAGGAUGCCCCAAAGAGAACUUCCAAACCUCAUUUUUGGUUUUUCAAUGCCUGAGUGAUAUUUGCAACUGGCAUGGCAAAUUACAUAUUUCACGUCUAUUUAAUAUCUGAUGACUACACUUUAAAAUGUAAAUGAAGAAGGCUAAUUAAUUUUAAUAUUAAUAUAAUCAUCUCAAAUUACCUUCCUUCCCGUUAAAAUGACCUCUCUAGGUUUAUAAUGGUUUUUUUCAUUGUUAAGAAGAAAUAUAAUCUCUUCCUUCUCUGGGCCUGGCGUGCCUACUCAGGCUGUUGUUUAACAGCACACAAUCAAGGACAGCAUACCCAGGCAGGUUGGUUUCAAUUUAACCUCCACUCCAGUCUCAGUGGCUCAUUUCAUCACUUAGGAUAAUAGCAGUUCUCAGACAUUUAAUACAUUUCUCAGAGCCCAGGUGUUCAGGGUCAGCGCAGGCAAGGCAGUCCCUUAUGAAGAAAAGGGGGGGGGAUCUGAUCCUUUCCUGGCACCAGCCACACAUGAAGGGCCACCUCUCCAUUGCUCACUCUCUCAUGUCUGACUUCCUGUCCUCACUUCUCCUCCCUGAGGGAGCAUGUGUUCUUCUUCUUGUUCUUUAUCAUGAAAACUUGGAGCUGAAAGGGACCUGGACCUCAGAGGUCAACUGUACAUGUCAGAGAUGAAGAGGCAGAGGCCUGGCGAGGUCACGUGACCGGUUGGAGGUCGCAAAGCUGGUGAGGGGAGGGCUGCGCCGGGACGCUGGGUCUUGUCACUUCCACUGCAGAGACUUUUCUCUUCCAUCAGACUUGGAAAGGGGCAGUAGAGGCAUUAGAGAUUUCACGUGGCAUUUUAAAAUAGCAAGCCUUUCUUUUAUGUUUUUUUCUCUCUUGUUUUACAAAGAUUUUUAAAAAGUUUCCCAGUUCUCCCAUUUUCUUUUAUGGAAGACUAAUCUGACACCUCAUGUAGAGAAUUGACUGUUUCCCACAAAAUAAACAGCGGAAAGCAAGUUGCACAAGCAUUUAGGGAUAUCAAGGGUCCUCAGUGCUCCAAGCUUCUAACAGCUCAGUAAACAUCCCUCCCCUGAUUGUCGAGGGAGAGGAAGAGGCAGGAAGAAGCUGCCUUCAGAGGACCGGGGACCAGAGGAGGAGCAGUGUUGCAGAGAGUGAGUGAAGAUCUACAGGGAGUGUGGCUUUGGUGGUCUCACGGUGUGACGUUCUGGCCCUGCACAGUAAUACCAGUUGUGGAAGGGUGUGGCAAGGAGGGAAAGAAUGAGCAGUGGAACCAAAAUGCUGUCAUGAAACUCUUGGUCACUUCCAUGGUCCAGAACUGAAUGUACUGAAUUGUGCUUUACCAAGAACCCAGGUAACAAGGACUGGGUAACUUCUUGGACUUCAAAGGGCUUCUCUUCAUGGGAAGUAAGUGCAAAGAGUUAGGGUGUUACACAGGCUAGGAAUGGACCAAGGAGAUGCUUCUCUCAGAUCACCUGGAGGCAAGCAGAAAGCAGAUGAGUGGCACUGAGGACCAUGGGGUGAAGACCAACCACCAACACUAAGAAGUUGAUGAUAAAUGUUCGUUGGGGGAUGCAGGAAUGGGAUACAUUAUUUGGCUGUGCUAACUGUACAAAACAUACAUCCACAUACUGCCUGGAUAUUUUUAAGAGACGAAACCCUUAAACACUACACUGGAAAUGAAGUUUUGAAGUGGGUGCACAUUGACCAGCAGAAUGCAUGUGAUAACUUGAGGGGAAAAGAGUUCAAUGAAUUCCAAGAACAGACGCUUGAAGCCUGCCCUACCUACACAAGCACCACAUGUCCACUGGCUUGGAGGAGUGAGCUGGAAAUAGGCACCUGUGUUUGAGGUUUGAGGUUCACCUGCCACCUGCAUCCCACCUGUUCUUGUUCUCACUUCUUCUCUAUCCGGACUCUGAAAUCUUGGCCCUAAUGUUUCUCAAGACUGGCCCUUUGACUUCAUUACGGACAAUUGUUUUGUUUGUUGAGUCUUGGAAUUUCUGAAAGAACCCAGAGCUGGCUUAUUCCUCUGUU